GGGAAUGUAGCUCAGUGGUACAGCGCUUGCCUAGCAUGUAUGAAAUCUUGGGUUCAAUCCUCAACACCA
rnacentral:tRNA from 1 species